rnacentral:rRNA from 1 species
GACGAACGCUGGCGGCGUGCUUAACACAUGCAAGUCGAACGGAAAGGCCCUGCUUUUGUGGGGUGCUCGAGUGGCGAACGGGUGAGUAACACGUGAGUAACCUGCCCUUGACUUUGGGAUAACUUCAGGAAACUGGGGCUAAUACCGGAUAGGAGCUCCUGCUGCAUGGUGGGGGUUGGAAAGUUUCGGCGGUUGGGGAUGGACUCGCGGCUUAUCAGCUUGUUGGUGGGGUAGUGGCUUACCAAGGCUUUGACGGGUAGCCGGCCUGAGAGGGUGACCGGCCACAUUGGGACUGAGAUACGGCCCAGACUCCUACGUGAGGCAGCAGUGGGGAAUAUUGCACAAUGGGCGGAAGCCUGAUGCAGCAACGCCGCGUGCGGGAUGAAGGCCUUCGGGUUGUAAACCGCUUUCGCCUGUGACGAAGCGUGAGUGACGGUAAUGGGUAAAGAAGCACCGGCUAACUACGUG